CAAUAGCGUAUAUUAAAGUUGUUGCGGUUAAAAAGCUCGUAGUUGGAUUUCUGCCGAGGACGUCCGGUCCGCCCUCUGGGUGAGUACAUGGCACGGCCUGGGCAUCUUCUUGGGGAACGUAUCUGCACUUGACUGUGUGGUGCGGUAUCCAGGACUUUUACUUUGAGGAAAUUAGAGUGUUUCAAGCAGGCACACGCCUUGAAUACAUUAGCAUGGAAUAAUAAGAUAGGACCUCGGUUCUAUUUUGUUGGUUUCUAGAGCUGAGGUAAUGAUUAAUAGGGAUAGUUGGGGGCAUUCGUAUUUAACUGUCAGAGGUGAAAUUCUCGGAUUUGUUAAAGACGGACUACUGCGAAAGCAAUUGCCAAGGAUGUUUUCAUUGA
rnacentral:rRNA from 1 species